GAUGAACGCUAGCGACAGGCUUAACACAUGCAAGUCGAGGGGCAGCACGAUGUAGCAAUACAUUGGUGGCGACCGGCGCACGGGUGAGUAACGCGUAUGCAACCUACCUAUCAGAGGGGAAUAACCCGGCGAAAGUCGGACUAAUACCGCAUAAAACAGGGGUUCCACAUGGAAAUAUUUGUUAAAGAAUUAUCGCUGAUAGAUGGGCAUGCGUUCCAUUAGAUAGUUGGUGAGGUAACGGCUCACCAAGUCCACGAUGGAUAGGGGUUCUGAGAGGAAGGUCCCCCACACUGGUACUGAGACACGGACCAGACUCCUACGGGAGGCAGCAGUGAGGAAUAUUGGUCAAUGGGCGAGAGCCUGAACCAGCCAAGUCGCGUGAAGGAUGAAGGAUCUAUGGUUUGUAAACUUCUUUUAUAUGGGAAUAAAGUGAGGAACGUGUUCCUUUUUGUAUGUACCAUAUGAAUAAGCAUCGGCUAACUCCGUGCCAGCAGCCGCGGUAAUACGGAGGAUGCGAGCGUUAUCCGGAUUUAUUGGGUUUAAAGGGUGCGUAGGUGGUUAAUUAAGUCAGCGGUGAAAGUUUGUGGCUCAACCAUAAAAUUGCCGUUGAAACUGGUUGACUUGAGUAUAUUUGAGGUAGGCGGAAUGCGUGGUGUAGCGGUGAAAUGCAUAGAUAUCACGCAGAACUCCGAUUGCGAAGGCA
rnacentral:rRNA from 1 species